rnacentral:rRNA from 1 species
AGAGUUUGAUCCUGGCUCAGGAUGAACGCUGGCGGCGUGCCUAACACAUGCAAGUCGAACGGGGCGCGCCGAUGGAAACUUUUCGGAGCGGAAAUUGGCGCUGCCUAGUGGCGGACGGGUGAGUAACGCGUGAGCAACCUGCCCUGCACUGGGGGACAACAGCUGGAAACGGCUGCUAAUACCGCAUAGGCGCACAGCCCCGCAUGGGGCGGUGUGGAAAGUAAUAUGGUGCAGGAUGGGCUCGCGUCUGAUUAGCUUGUUGGCGGGGUAACGGCCCACCAAGGCGACGAUCAGUAGCCGGCCUGAGAGGGUGGACGGCCACAUUGGGACUGAGACACGGCCCAGACUCCUACGGGAGGCAGCAGUGGGGGAUAUUGCACAAUGGGGGGAACCCUGAUGCAGCGACGCCGCGUGGGCGAUGGAGUACUUCGGUAUGUAAAGCCCUAUCAGCAGGGAAGAAAAUGACGGUACCUGACUAAGAAGCCCCGGCUAAAUACGUA